rnacentral:rRNA from 1 species
UACGUAGGGGGCGAGCGUUGUCCGGAAUCAUUGGGCGUAAAGCGCGCGUAGGCGGCCCUGUAAGUCCGCUGUAAAAGUCAAAGGCUCAACCUUUGAAAGCCGGUGGAUACUGCAGGGCUAGAGUCCGGAAGAGGCGAGUGGAAUUCCUGGUGUAGCGGUGGAAUGCGCAGAUAUCAGGAGGAACACCGGUGGCGAAGGCGGGUCUCUGGGCCGAUACUGACGCUGAGGAGCGAAAGCGUGGGGAGCGAACAGG